rnacentral:tRNA from 1 species
AAUAGGUUGGCAGAUUAGUGCAAUUGGCUUAGAACCUCUAUAUGAAUAUUUCACCUAUUA